ensembl:lncRNA
GUCAGACAUUCAAUAGUCAGAGUAGGUUUGAGUUAUGAUCACUUAUCAUGCUGACAAACCUGAUGGUCUCUGUGAACUGAUCUGAACAGGUUUAGGCUGGUCAUCUAUGAUAUGUAGGUUAUAUACAGUACAUUCUCUGUCCUGCUACUGGUAGGACUAUAACAUUAUGUGAACUGAUCUGAACAGGUUUAGACUGGUCAUCUAUGAUAUGUAGGCUAUAGCUGAGGUAUAGACCUUGAUCUGCAUAUCACUAACAACCCACUACUAUACAUUAUAACCUAGUCUACUUUACAUAAUAUAACAUCUACAUAUCACUAAC